rnacentral:rRNA from 1 species
AUUGAACGCUGGCGGCAGGCCUAACACAUGCAAGUCGAGCGGAGCGGCGGACGGGUGAGUAAUGCCUAGGAAUCUGCCUGGUCGUGGGGGAUAACGUCCGGAAACGGGCGCUAAUCCCGCAUACUAUCAGAUGAGCCUAGGUCGGAUUAGCUAGUUGGUGGGGUAGAGGCCUACCAAGGCGACGAUCCGUAACUGGUCUGAGAGGAUGAUCAGUCACACGGGAACUGUGACACGGUCCGUACGCCUACGGGAGGAAGCAGUGGGGAAUAUUGGGCAAUGGGCGAAAGCCGGAACCAGCCAUGCAGCGUGGGUGAGGAAGGUCUUCGGAUUGUAAAGCUCUAUAAGUUUGGAGGCGUUAGCAACAGAAUAAGCACCGGCUAACUACGUGCCAGCAGCCGCGGUAAUUC